rnacentral:rRNA from 1 species
GAGUUUGAACCUGGCUCAGGACGAACGCUGGCGGCGUGCCUAAUACAUGCAAGUCGAGCGAGCUUGCCUAGAUGAUUUUAGUGCUUGCACUAAAUGAAACUAGAUACAAGCGAGCGGCGGACGGGUGAGUAACACGUGGGUAACCUGCCCAAGAGACUGGGAUAACACCUGGAAACAGAUGCUAAUACCGGAUAACAACACUAGACGCAUGUCUAGAGUUUGAAAGAUGGUUCUGCUAUCACUCUUGGAUGGACCUGCGGUGCAUUAGCUAGUUGGUAAGGUAACGGCUUACCAAGGCAAUGAUGCAUAGCCGAGUUGAGAGACUGAUCGGCCACAUUGGGACUGAGACACGGCCCAAACUCCUACGGGAGGCAGCAGUAGGGAAUCUUCCACAAUGGACGAAAGUCUGAUGGAGCAACGCCGCGUGAGUGAAGAAGGGUUUCGGCUCGUAAAGCUCUGUUGGUAGUGAAGAAAGAU